GCGCGAAAACUUUACAAUGCGGGAAACCGUGAUAAGGGAACUCCGAGUGCCCGUAAAAUCGGGCUGUCCAUCAGUUUAAAUAACUGGUGAAGAAAGGGCCGGGCAAGACCGGUGCCAGCCGCCGCGGUAAUACCGGCGGCUCGAGUGGUGGCCACUAUUACUGGGCUUAAAGCGUUCGUAGCUGGUCUGUUAAGUCUCUGGGGAAAUCUGCCGGCUUAACCGGCAGGCGUUUCAGGGAUACUGGCAGACUAGGGACCGGGAGAGGUGAGAGGUACUCCAGGGGUAGGAGUGAAAUCCUGUAAUCCUUGGGGGACCACCUGUGGCGAAGGCGUCUCACCAGAACGGCUCCGACAGUGAGGGACGAAAGCUGGGGGAGCAAACCGGAUUAGAUACCCGGGUAGUCCCAGCUGUAAACGAUGCGCGUUAGGUGUAUCGGUGACCACGAGUCACCGAGGUGCCGAAGAGAAAUCGUGAAACGUGCCGCCUGGGAAGUACGGUCGCAAGGCUGAAACUUAAAGGAAUUGGCGGGGGA
rnacentral:rRNA from 1 species